UGAGUAAGCCGGAUGGUCGCGGGCCGGCCCUUUUGGGGCCGCGCCUGAGGAAAGUCCGGGCUCCGCAGGGCGAAGGUGCUGGAUAACGUCCAGUGGGGGCGACCCCAAGGAUAGUGCCACAGAAAGAAACCGCCGUCCGGUGUGUACCGGGCGGUAAGGAUGGAACGGUGCGGUAAGAGCGCACCAGCGGCAUGGCGACUUGCCGGCUAGGUAAACCCCACCUGGAGCAAGACCGAAUAGGGAGGCAUACGGGGCGGCCCGUCCCGCCUCCGGGUAGCGUCGCACGAGGCGUCAGGCAACUGGCGUCCCAGAUAGAUGAUCAUCCACGACAGAACCCGGCUUACAGGCUUGCUCACCCG
rnacentral:RNase_P_RNA from 1 species